AUCAGCGUUUAUGGGAUCGAUUACAUGACCACAAACUUUUGAACGAAAAAGCAGCAGAGCCUGUCAUUAUCGCUCUGGGAGCAACGUUGGCUUUAAGUGUGACUGUGAUCGGUAUCCUUGUCUGCACCAGAAAUACAAGGCCAAUUUGUGAACAUUGUUAUGUAGGUGCCUCUCAGCAUAUAGGACAUGGCAGCUCAACAGUGGAACAGUUAAAUAGCCAGGAUGAAGAUACAGAUACGUUGAACUAUGCUGCAUUGAAUUUCUCUGAGAGGAAAACUAGAAGAGGAAGAAAGAAGAGAGAGACACCACAGGAGAGUGUGUACUCUGAUGUCAGGUGUUCAGAUUGGGAGUGAAAUUGUUUCAACUACGGUACUGAGUAGUGGGUCUAGUUAAGUCAUUAAUCUCUAACAUUUUUAAUUUAUUACAAUAAAUGUUGUUUUAUCUUUCACAUGAAAAGGUAACACAGCAGAACAGCAAAAAUGGAAAAGAACACUGAAAUGUCUGGAACUUGGAAAUUCACUUUAAGACUAAAUGAAACAUUAAAAGAAAAUAUUAAUAGCAUAUGUAUUUGUUUCCUAACCAUUUAUCUAGAUACUGUAAAUGCCUGAUGUGUUUUAGCACAUGAAAGCAGCAUUUACAUUUGCCUACACAAAGUAAGUUGUUUUUGUACCUUUAUAAUGUCCCGGCUUCAUAUUACCAGUUUUGUUGAAUUGUCAGUCCGUAGAGGUUCCUAAUAUUUUUGCCUCGACUGUACUUUUUAUCUGUGAACUUUCCUGUUCAAUGUAUAGCACCAGUGUACAAUAAAACAUGGAAACCUGUUCAUACGUGGAUAAUCCUGAUAUUGGGUUCUGUCUUCUGUGAAUGUUUCUAACAAAUUAUUCUUACAUUUACAUUUUUGCAGUUUUUGUUAUGUUGAUAUCAGUGUCACGCCCUGACUUUAGUUAUAUUUGCUUUCUUUAUUAUUUGGUUAGGUCAGGGUGUGGCAAGGGUGGUUUGUUUAGUUUGUGUAUUGUCUAGGGUUUUUGGUUAUCUAUGGGGAUUUUGUAUUGUCUAUGGGUAUGUAGGUUUAUGGUGGCCUGAAUGGGUUCCCAAUCAGAGACAGCUGUUUAUCGUUGUCUCUGAUUGGGGAACCUAUUUAGGUUGCCAUUUUCCAUGUUGGUAUUGUGGGUAGUUGUCCAUGUUUAGUUGCCUGUGAGCACUACGUUGGCGUCACGUGUCGGUUGGUUGUUAAUUGUUUUGUUGGCGACAUCGUUAAAUAAACAAGUAUGUACGC